UUUAUGAAGAAGAGAAAUUUACCUUUUGAUUUUGAAAGUUCAAGACUUCAAACAUUACAAUCCAAAAAGGAGAGCUUUAAAAUCAGUGUGUUUUAUGCUGCACUUGAUUUAAUUAUUAUGCAGUUUAGUGAAAGAUUUAACGAUGAAUCGAUAAAAUUUUUGAGUCAAACAUCAUUUUUUACCCCAAAGGGAAUGGCGGAAAAGGCAAUUGUUAAAGAUGAUAUCAAGUAUAUCUGUGAAUUUUAUCAAUUAAAUACAAGUCAAGUUUUUGAGGAAAUGUUGAUGUUUAGAAAUAUUUAUAAAAUGGCUAAAACGGGGGACGUAAUUAUUACUCGUGACCUAGAGGUUAAAGAAGAUUUGUCAGAUUCUGAGAAUUCUUCUUCUGAUGAUGAUAAUAAUUUUGAGAUGAAUGAUUAAGACUGGAGAAACUAUUCAUUUAUUUUACCUUAUCGUCUG